rnacentral:rRNA from 1 species
GAUGAACGCUGGCGGCGUGCCUAAUACAUGCAAGUCGAGCGAACAGACGAGGAGCUUGCUCCUUUGACGUUAGCGGCGGACGGGUGAGUAACACGUGGGUAACCUACCUAUAAGACUGGGAUAACUUCGGGAAGCCGGAGCUAAUACCGGAUAAUAUUUCGAACCGCAUGGUUCGAUAGUGAAAGAUGGCUUUGCUAUCACUUAUAGAUGGACCUGCGCCGUAUUAGCUAGUUGGUAAGGUAACGGCUUACCAAGGCAACGAUACGUAGCCGACCUGAGAGGGGGGCCGGCCAAACGGGAACGGGACAACGGCCCAACCCCCAAGGGAGGGACGAGGGAGGGAAAUUUCAGCAAGGGGCGAAAGCCGAACGGGACAAACCGGGGGGAGGAAGAAAGGUUUUGGGUUGGAAAAACCUUUUUUUUGGGAAAAAAAAAAGGUGUAAGAAACCGUGCACGUCUUAACGGUACCAAAACAAAAAGCCCGGGUAAACUCGGU